UAGAACAAAAACAAAACUCAAAGUCGGCUUCAGACAAGAACAAACAAAGCUGAGUACCGGAGAUACUACCAAGCGCUCGGAGCUGUUUGGAGCUAGAUCAGCUGUGUGGAGAGACGAUUAAAGCUGUUAGGAGAUUGUUAACAAAGUCGUGCGAACGGGUUGACCUUGAUGAUGAUGAUGACUUCCUUGUUAUUGCAUGUGAUGGGAUAUGAAAACGAAAAAGAAGAUGCCUGAGGCCCCGGAAAAGGACAUAUCUACCCCAAAACUUGCAAGAAUCCUACUGAUGAGGUUGAAAAUGAUGCUGAAAAAAAUAGUGAGAGAGUGAAGCGGAAGAAGUUGAACUGGACUUUAAAGGUCAUGGACCAAACUGGUUGCUUGGGAGGACUGGACUAACAAGAAAAAUCAAGAAAGCUGCCAUGGAAAAGGAGAAGACAAAAUCUGCAGAAGUACUAUCAAAGUUAUCUGCUCAAAUGGAGGAGAAAAUGAAAAGAAGUUGGAGAAGAUAUUGUGAAUAUUGGCUGAGGAGAAUCCAAUAAAAAUAUUUUGGUCUGUGCGUGUAAUUAACUUAAGAACGCACACAUGUGCAAACUUUAGCCUUAUUUUGCUUAAAGUUUUGCGUUUCCGUUAGACUUGGUUAUGUGCACAUGUUGGAACAGUAGUGAUAGGACUAUAGCACUACUUGUUGACUUUUUGGAUUAGUGGAUGUUGGAUCAUGUUUUGAUAUACCAAUUAAAUUUGGUGGUUGUUAAUGAAAUGUAAAGGUCAUGCCAAUUUUUUUUUUGUUGUAAAUU